rnacentral:rRNA from 1 species
UUCCUACGGGAGGCAGCAGUGGGGAAUAUUGCACAAUGGGCGGAAGCCUGAUGCAGCAACGCCGCGUGCGGGAUGACGGCCUUCGAGUUGUAAACCGCUUUCGCCUGUGACGAAGCGUGAGUGACGGUAAUGGGUAAAGAAGCACCGGCUAACUACGUGCCAGCAGCCGCGGUGAUACGUAGGGUGCGAGCGUUGUCCGGAUUUAUUGGGCGUAAAGGGCUCGUAGGUGGUUGAUCGCGUCGGAAGUGUAAUCUUGGGGCUUAACCCUGAGCGUGCUUUCGAUACGGGUUGACUUGAGGAAGGUAGGGGAGAAUGGAAUUCCUGGUGGAGCGGUGGAAUGCGCAGAUAUCAGGAGGAACACCAGUGGCGAAGGCGGUUCUCUGGGCCUUUCCUGACGCUAAGGAGCGAAAGCGUGGGGAGCGAACAGGCUUAGAUACCCUGGUAGUCCAUGCUGUAAACGGUGGGUACUAGGUGUGGGGUCCAUUCCACGGGUUCCGUGCCGUAGCUAACGCUUUAAGUACCCCGCCUGGGGAGUACGGCCGCAAG